ACGUUGUUUGAAAGGAGAGAAGGUUAGCGCUCCCCUUGACAAGGAUGGAAGAGGUUCUGGUGACCUUCAGCACACAUUGCCACCUACUUUCUCACCAUGUUUUGGGUGGUUAUAGUGGUAAAAGCUCU